GACGGAGGAUGCAAGUGUUAUCCGGAAUCACUGGGCGUAAAGCGUCUGUAGGUGGUUUAAAAAAGUCUAUUGUUAAAAAUUGAAGCUUAACUUCAAAGAUGCAAUGGAAACUUUUAAACUUGAGUAUGGUAGGGGUAGAGGGAAUUUCCAGUGGAGCGGUGAAAUGCGUAGAUAUUGGAAAGACCACCAAUGGCGAAGGCACUCUACUGGGCCAUUACUGACACUGAGAGACGAAAGCUAGGGGAGCAAAUGGG
rnacentral:rRNA from 1 species